rnacentral:lncRNA from 1 species
UCCAGGUUGAACUUUAUAAAGAAAUAAAAAAGAAUGGUUCAAGUCGCUCACUGCGAGCUGCAAUGCAAAGGUUUGGGGACACUUGCUAUUUGAUUCAUCCAAACAAGUGCAGACCGUAUGUUGCAAACCUAUUACCUUGUAUUGUAAAGAUCGCAAAGCGAGAAGAUGAUGCAAUUCAGGAAACUCUAGGUGUUAUGAUGAGCAAGCUGUGUCCAGUUAUCGGGAAGUUCAUGAAUGAAGAUGAU